UUCCGGUUGAUCCUGCCGGACCCGACUGCUAUUUGGGUGAGAAUAAGCCAUGCGAGUCGAAUGGGAUACCUAAAAUUCCCAUGGCAAACUGCUCAGUAACACAUGAUCAACUUACCCUAUAGAGAAAAAUAACCUCGGGAAACUGAGGACAAUAUUUCAUAGUUGAAUCGGCUUGGAAAAGUUUUUCAAUUAAAGGGAUAAGAAAAAUGGUUCUUAUUCGCUAUAGGAUAGGAUCGUGGACGAUUAUGGUUGUUGGUGAGAUAACGGCUCACCAAGCCGAUAAUCGAUAGGGGCCGUGAGAGCGGGAGCCCCGAGAUGGGUACUGAGACAACGACCCAGGCCUUACGAGGCGCAGCAGGCGCGGAACCUCCGCAAUACACGAAAGUGUGACGGGGUUACCCAAAGUGUUCAAUAUUGAACUGUGGUAGGUGAGUAAUGUCCCCUACUAGAAAGGAGAGGGCAAGGCUGGUGCCAGCCGCCGCGGUAAAACCAGCUCUUCAAGUGGUCGGGAUAAUUAUUGGGCUUAAAGUGUCCGUAGCCGGUUUAGUAAGUUCCUGGUAAAAUCGGGUAGCUUAACUAUCUGUAUGCUAGGAAUACUGCUAUACUAGAGGACGGGAGAGGUCUGAGGUACUACAGGGGUAGGGGUGAAAUCUUAUAAUCCUUGUAGGACCACCAGUGGCGAAAGCGUCAGACUGGAACGUGCCUGACGGUGAGGGACGAAAGCCAGGGGAGCAAACCGGAUUAGAUACAUCGGUGCUAAUGCACCAUGCUAAACACCCGGGUAGUCCUGGCCGUAAACGAUGCAUACUACGUGAUGGUACGGGCCAUGAGCCGUAUCAGUGCCGUAGGGAAACCGUUAAGUGUGCCGCCUGGGAAGUACGGUCGCAAGGCUAAACUUAAGGAUGGCGGGGGGAGCACACAGGGUGAGCUGCGUCAUGGACUCACGCGA
rnacentral:rRNA from 1 species